ACAACCCUGAAAUUAUCUAAUUAUCGAAAAAAGAAAMCUUCAGCCACGCGACAUCGAGCUGAGAGAAUAAUAAUGAACCCAAGAAUCAUUUUAUUAGCUUUUCUUUGUCUCGCAGUUAUCUUCAACAUGGGAGGUGGAUUGCCUUUGCAAGGUAGAUCUCUAAUGGAGUUAUUGGAUAGCAAGCCAGUCGGGUAUUUYGACCCGGASUUAAAAAAAGCUGUAAAAAAGCUUAUGUUGACAACAGUAUCAGUCGAUUAAGUACUUGAGAUUGGCGGUAACCGCAAAGACCCAAGGACCAGCUAUUUGUACUCAAAUACAAUAGCUGGUUAGUUGUGCUCUAACAAAUGGUUUUUUAACUGAUCGGCGGCAUUAGAAGYACAUGUGAAGAGCUAGUGGGCUGGAAGCUUGAGGACUUGGAAAAAGAGUCAAUUAUCUCUUUAAAUGAAAUGGGAUCUCAUCCAAGCUAAAUAGAAUCAGGAUAUUGCGGGAUUAAGUGUUUUGAGUGUAUCACAUAAAUUCCCUCACAUACACAUUUCUAGAAUGUUUGAAAAUAUAAUUGUACUAUAAUUAUACAUACAYCUAAUUGAAAAAACGUAGUCGUGUUCGAAAAGGUCACAUCAUAGAAKCUAAGAC